CUGGCGGCGUGCGUUAACACAUGCAAGUCGAACGCGAAAGGGGAACUUCGGUCCUGAGUAAAGUGGCGCACGGGUGAGUAACGCGUAGAUAACCUGUCUUCAUGUCUGGAAUAAUACGCCGAAAGGGGUACUAAUACCGGAUAUUCUUGCUUUUCAUAAGUUAUGCAAGCAAAGGUGGCCUCUGCAUAUGCUACUGCAUGAAGAGGGGUCUGCGUACCAUUAGCUAGUAGGUGGGGUAAUGGCCUACCUAGGCGACGAUGGUUAGCGGGUCUGAGAGGAUGAUCCGCCACACUGGCACUGGAACACGGGCCAGACUCCUACGGGAGGCAGCAGUGAGGAAUAUUGCGCAAUGGGGGAAACCCUGACGCAGCGACGCCGCGUGAAGUGAGGAAGGCCUUCGGGUCGUAAAGCUCUGUCAAGAGGAAAGAAGUGUACAAUGGCUAAUACCUGUUGUAUUUGACGGUACCUCUAAAGGAAGCACCGGCUAACUCCGUGCCAGCAGCGGC
rnacentral:rRNA from 1 species